rnacentral:rRNA from 1 species
UACAGAGGUCUCAAGCGUUGUUCGGAUUCAUUGGGCGUAAAGGGUGCGUAGGCGGCGCGGUAAGUCGGAUGUGAAAUCUCGGAGCUUAACUCUGAAACUGCAUUCGAUACUGCCGUGCUUGAGGACUGGAGAGGAGACUGGAAUUUACGGUGUAGCGGUGAAAUGCGUAGAUAUCGUAAGGAAGACCAGUGGCGAAGGCGGGUCUCUGGACAGUUCCUGACGCUGAGGCACGAAGGCCAGGGGAGCAAACGGG